rnacentral:rRNA from 1 species
UACGUAGGGUGCAAGCGUUGUCCGGAAUUAUUGGGCGUAAAGAGCUCGUAGGCGGUCUGUCGCGUCUGCUGUGAAAACUCGGGGCUUAACCCCGGGCCUGCAGUGGGUACGGGCAGACUAGAGUGCGGUAGGGGAGACUGGAAUUCCUGGUGUAGCGGUGAAAUGCGCAGAUAUCAGGAGGAACACCGGUGGCGAAGGCGGGUCUCUGGACAGUUCCUGACGCUGAGGCACGAAGGCCAGGGGAGCAAACGGG